UUAACACAGCAGUUGAAGAUUCCAGCGCAAUAGAAGAAAUGACACAGGACCUGAGGAGGCAGUUCCAUGAUGUACUGUCAGAUUCCCUGGCUCCUGAUCAACGCGUCGUGGGUGAUCCCAUCCAAAUCAGAUUGACAGAGGACGCUGUUCCGUAUCAUGCCAAUACCUCACGUCCCAUUCCGCUGCAUUAUCGCGCUGAAGCCGACGCAACUAUCAAACGGUUGCUUGAUUCAGGCCGAUUUUUUCGUGUAGAGGAGGCUACAACAUGGUGUGCUUGUGCUCACUUCGUUCCUAAAGAAGGAGGCAAGGCCGGGCUUUGUUUGGUCACAGAUUACAAGGUGAUCAACAAAUUCAUCAAGAGACCUGUACAGCCUUUCCCUUCUGCCCAGGACAUCAUUAGAAGUGGAGGUACCGGUACAACUUUGCCCCCAUGGGUAUGAGUCUCAGCAGGGACCACUGGAAUACGGUUUCCAAUGAGGUCAUCAGAGGUCUUACUUUUUGUCAAAAACUGGUCGACGACAUCCUCAUCGGUGCACCAACAAUUCCCCUGCUCAAAUCCCGCAUUCAAACUGUUCUUUCAAGAUGCCGUGAGAAAGGGAUUACGAUCUCAUUACGCAUAUUCGUCGCAGGUCGCAAGGUGCCCUUUGCAGGAUUCGUUGUCAGUGACCAGGGUGUCAGCCCUGACCCUGCUAAAGUGCAGGCAAUCCAAGACUUCCCACAGCCAAAAACAGUGACUGAUGUGAGGUCCUUUUUGGGCCUCGCCAAUUAAUUUGUGUUCUUUGUGCUGGACUUAUUGCAUGGGAUGAGUGACAUUUGUCCCCUUCUCAAAACGGGAGUUUGAUUCCAGUGGCUCAGUGUCCACGAAAAAGCAUUUUGCCAAGCCAAGAAUUUGCUGACUUCUUCUCUCCUUGUGAAGCCGUUCGAUGAAAAACUUGAGACUUUUCUGAUAUUGGACACUUCAAGGUUACACGGCCUCAGCUUCAUGCUGAUGCAAAAGGAGAAGAAUGGACAUCCACGAAUAGUGCAAUGUGGCUCGUUCAGCUUGACGCCUGCUCAGCGGAAUUAUGCAGCCAUCAAGCUUGAGUGUCUUGCAAUUUUGCGUGCAGUGCACAAAUGCGAGUUUUAUUUGAGAGGGUGUGCAUUCACUGUUAUGACAAACCAUAAGCCGCUCGUGGGAAUUUUUGCAAAAGACAUUAUUGACAUUCAUAACAUGCGACUUGCAAAAUUCCGUGAGGCCAUCUCAUCUUUCUCUUUCCAGA